rnacentral:tRNA from 1 species
GCGCGCUUCGUCUAACGGUAAGACACCGGCUUCCAAACCCGGCAAUGGGGGUUCGAUUCCUUCAGCGCGUG